UUAUUAUUAUUAUUAUUUUAGUUAUUUCAAGUAGACAAAAAGCAAAAUAAGAAAUGUAAAAAUAAAACAGAUUGUCAAGCACAUUGACAUGCAAUUUUACAUAAGUUGUUCAAAAAGGAGCAGGUAGAAGAUACAAGAUUUUCAAAACAGCAAACACAGAGGCCUAAAAAAACGUGACACAUUUUGUUUGCCAAAAAUAUUUAAAGGUGAUCCAUUAUGCUAUAGUGUUGGAACUCAGCUGGGGUUGCUAGGUAACAGACAGUGCUGCUGAUUUACAUUCACAAGGAUUUUUGAAACAGCUCAUUUUCCAGGCACCAAAAAACAUUAAGUUAUUGCCAAAAACCAGCUGCUUGUUUUUUUUUCCAAGCAGCUGAGCUUUUUUAGCAGUAGAGACUCAAAUAGAAGUUAAAAAAAACAUACAAAACACUCAAUGCACCUUCUACAGAAGAUACACGCCAAAUAUUCCUUCCCUCAAAAUAUCUGUUCCAGUCAUAAAUGCUUUGAUUCCAAUUUUAUUGACUCCAUGACAUUUUUUCAAACUGUGACUGAAAACUGAAAUACAGAGAAUACUGUAAAAGUAAACCAAAAAUAAAACCAGAGAAUAAGAAAUUAAGAAAGUAACAAAUUUAUUACAGUAAAAGAAAUACCGAUUGUUGAUUCUCAUGCUUCUCUUGGUAAUUUCUAACAGAAACAGAUGAUUUCUUUUGGUUGAUAUAUCGCUAAAACAGUUUAGUUUGAGACAUCUGUG